rnacentral:sRNA from 1 species
ACUUAAGGGAGCUUGCUCCUUUAAGUUAGCGGCGGACGGGUGAGUAACACGUGGGCAACCUGCCCUAUAGCUUGGGAUAACUCCGGGAAACCGGGGCUAAUACCGAAUAAUACAAUUUAGCUCCUGCUAGAUUGUUGAAAGAUGGUUCUGCUAUCGCUAUAGGAUGGGCCCGCGGCGCAUUAGCUAGUUGGUGAGGUAACGGCUCACCAAGGCGGCGAUGCGUAGCCGACCUGAGAGGGUGAUCGGCCACACUGGGACUUUCUCCCGGCCCANAGACAUACGGGAGGCAGCUUUCCUCUCUUGCAUUAAACUCU